AAUACCCUAUUAUUUUAAAAGUAAUUGAUGAAAUCUAAUUAGUAAUAGUUAAGUUCUUGAAAAUUAAAGAAUUUGGCGGUAUUUUAGUCUAUUCAGAGGAAUCUGUCCUAUAAUUGAUAAUCCACGAUUUUUUAUACCUAAUUUAUUAAUUUACAUAUCGCCGUAGUUUGAAUAUUUUUUGAAAAUUAUAAUAUUCCUAAUUUAUUUUAAUAAAAAAAAUCAGGUCAAGGUGUAGUUUAUAGUCAGGAAGAGAUGGGUUACAAUAAAAGUAUUUAUAAUGGAUUAAUUAAUUAAAUUUUUUUAUGAAGGUGGAUUUGAAAGUAAUUUUAUUUA
rnacentral:rRNA from 1 species